rnacentral:sRNA from 12 species
CAUUUAUAUUAGCAGUCAUGUAAUCACCCGAUUCGGGUGGUCGACGCAACAGCUUAAUCGGA